CAGUCGCCGCGGUAAUACGUAGGGUGCAAGCGUUAAUCGGAAUUACUGGGCGUAAAGCGUGCGCAGGCGGUUCGUUAAGACAGAUGUGAAAUCCCCGGGCUUAACCUGGGAACUGCAUUUGUGACUGGCGGGCUAGAGUAUGGCAGAGGGGGGUAGAAUUCCACGUGUAGCAGUGAAAUGCGUAGAGAUGUGGAGGAAUACCGAUGGCGAAGGCAGCCCCCUGGGCCAAUACUGACGCUCAUGCACGAAAGCGUGGGGAGCAAACGGGAUUAGAUACCCCCGUAGUCCCUGUCUCUUAUAC
rnacentral:rRNA from 1 species